rnacentral:lncRNA from 1 species
AAAGUCCAAGGGAAUUCUGGGUUUCUAUUGACAUACUUGUCUUUUGGAUUUCUCCCAUUUGGUCAUAUCUUUUCAACUUUCAACUUUUAAAUAUUUGUGCAUAGGGUAGUCUCUUCAUCUUCUCCCCAUUUCUUUAAUUUCAAAAUCUCUCCCUCCAUUUUUAAAAUCUUCUUUGUGUGAACUAUUUUUGUUCUAAACUUUGACCACUUUUGCAAAAGGUA